rnacentral:rRNA from 1 species
UACGUAUGGUGCGAACGUUGUUCGGAAUCACUGGGCAUAAAGAGCACGUAGGCGGUUAAGCAAGUCCAUUGUGAAAUCCCCCGGCCUAACCGGGGAACUGCAUUGGAUACUACUUGACUUGAGUGCAGGAGGGGAGAGUGGAAUUCCAGGUGGAGCGGUGAAAUGCGUAGAUAUCAGGAGGAACACCGAUGGCGAAGGCAGGUCUCUGGGCAUUAACUGACGCUGAGGAGCGAAAGCAUGGGGAGCGAACAGG